rnacentral:rRNA from 1 species
GACGAACGCUGGCGGCGUGCUUAACACAUGCAAGUCGAACGGAGUGGCGAACGGGUGAGUAACACGUGGGUGACCUGCCCUGCACUUCGGGAUAGGCCUGGGAAACUGGGUCUAAUACCGGAUAGUGUGGGGUGGGCGCGCGGCCUAUCAGCUUGUUGGUGGGGUAAAGGCCUACCAAGGUGGCGACGGGUAGCCGGGCUGAGGGGGUGGACGGCCACAUUGGGACGGAGACACGGCCCAUACUCCUACGGGAGGCAGCAGUGGGGAAUAUUGCACAAUGGGCGGAAGACUGAUGCAGCGACGCCGCGUGGGGGAUGACAGCCUUCUGGUUGUAAACACCUUUCACCAUCGACGCGGUAGAUUGAGAAGAAGCACCGGCUAACUACGUGCCAGCAGCCGCGGUAAUAC